UAGCUUGACUCCUCACACUCAU
rnacentral:siRNA from 1 species